rnacentral:rRNA from 1 species
UCUAACAUGUGCGCGAGUCAUUGGGUUGACUAAACCUAAAGGCACAAUGAAAGUGAAGGCUGCAAUGGUGGGCACCGAGGGAAGAUGGUACUGGUUUACCUGGGCCACUUGUGGUUCUGGGCCCAGCCCGCAUUCCCGGGGCGUCUCGUCCUCACUGCGAGGGGAGGCGCUCCUAGAGCGUACACGUUGGGACCCGAAAGAUGGUGAACUAUGCCUGGCCAGGACGAAGUCAGGGGAAACCCUGAUGGAGGUCCGUAGCGAUUCUGACGUGCAAAUCGAUCGUCGGAGCUGGGUAUAGGGGCGAAAGACUAAUCGAACCANNUAGUAGCUGGUUCCUUCCGA